GGGCGAUUAGCUCAGAUGGUUAGAGCGCACGGUUCACAUCCGUGAGGUCACUGGUUCGAGUCCAGCAUUGCCCA
rnacentral:tRNA from 1 species